rnacentral:rRNA from 1 species
AAACUUUCAACAACGGAUCUCUUGGUUCUGGCAUCGAUGAAGAACGCAGCGAAAUGCGAUAAGUAAUGUGAAUUGCAGAAUUCAGUGAAUCAUCGAAUCUUUGAACGCACAUUGCGCCCCUUGGUAUUCCGGGGGGCAUGCCUGUUCAAGCGUCAUUU